rnacentral:rRNA from 1 species
UACAGAGGUCUCAAGCGUUGUUCGGAUUCACUGGGCUUAAAGGGUGCGUAGGCGGCUUGCCAAGUCAGUGGUGAAAGCCCGCGGCUUAACCGUGGAAUUGCCAUUGAAACUGGCUGGCUCGAGUGUGAUUGAAGUGGAUGGAAUACAUCAUGUAGCGGUGAAAUGCUUAGAGAUGAUGUAGAACACCAAUUGCGAAGGCAGUUCACUAAGUCAUAACUGACGCUGAGGCACGAAAGCGUGGGGAUCAAACAGG